AUACUUACCUGGCAGGGGAGACACCAUGAUCAGGCAGGUGGUUUUCCUAGGCUUAUCCUUUGCACUCCAGGUUUGCUGACCCCUGCGAUUUCCCCAAAUGCGGAAACUUGGCUGCAUAAUUUGUGGUAGUGGAGGACUGUGAAAAAAUAGCAUUGCUGUGCUUUUU